GGAGAUUUAGCUCAGUGGUAGAGCGCUUGCCUAGCAAGCACAAGGCCCUGGGUUCAGCCCUCAGCUCCA
rnacentral:tRNA from 1 species